rnacentral:lncRNA from 1 species
UCUUUCGUAAUUUCAUGUUCACCUUUAUUUAAUGAAAACACUUACAUUCUAUCGUAUGAAAAGUUGACAGUUGGACUCAAAUAGACAUGAUAUAAGACAUAAACAUGCCUUUCAAGACAAUCAACAAUAUUAUUGAGGAAAGAGAACUUAAAAUACAUUAAGAUCCAAUACCUUAAAUAGGCACAAAAAAAAAAAACUUCUAUUACUACAUUGGCACAUCGAAUUUAUUGAUAUUGUUGAGCAAAGGUUGCAACACAAAUGACUCAUGGUUUCAAUGAUUUUGUUAGGAUUGAUGUAGUAGUGAAACUACUAUCCCUCCUAACAAAUUCUGAUUUGUCAUUCUCUAGUGAUGGUCAGGAUCUGGCCCUGCAGGUGAAACUCUCUCCAGCCUUCCACCUAGCAUUGACCUCUUUCCAUGCCACUGGCCAUUUCUCACAUUGUUGAUUAGUUCACGUAAGCCGAACUUACUAUUAUUUUUUUUGUCCAUUGUUGAGAGCUGAGGAACAAGUCUAGCUUCUUCUGAACUCUCUACAAACAAUGUCACAACAAUUAGGAAGAUAAUAAACUGUUUUGGCUUCAUGAUUGAAGUAGUAGUCUUGCAAACACAAAUGACAAGAAAAACAAGUAUGUAUAUAGCUAAAAUGCUUAUUAUAUCAAUGAGAGAAGUAGCUUAGAGAGUUUAAGGCCAACCUUGCUAUAUAUACGCACACAUCAAAGGGUUGAAGCGAUUCAUGGGGAAUAACUUUAGGGCUUUCAUUUCUAGAGUCCUAUUGGAAGGUCGUGUAAGCAGAUAAGUACCACCAAAAGAAUCCUUGUCUUAUUAUCUCUUUUAGGUUAUUUUCCUUCUGUCCUAUAUAUCAAGGUCAAACUUGUUGCUAUAAAUCCCAAAUGUGAAAUGUUAUAAUCCUUAUUGGAUUUUUUAAAUUUAGGGUUUUUCUUCACCUUAUAUAUGCCAACUGAUCCUAUUCAUACUAGAUUGUCUUAUCGGUAGAUUAAGAAAAGUACGUAGAACCGACUAAGGCUCUUUAGACUUUAAUCCACAUUUUUAAAGCCAUUUUUUGUAUCAAAUAAAUUUAGUGUGCCAUGAAAAGCUUUUAUAUAUGCUUUCUCCACAAUCAUAUAGGCACUCAUUUUUCUGGAUUAAAUGCUGCCUUUGUCGUACUAGUAUCUGUCAUUUGGCUCAUUUUAAAUGAAUUUUAUUAAGCAUUUUUUAAUCAGUAUUUCAUUAAGCAUUUGAUUUUUGAUAUCGCAUGAUGCAUCCCUAGCUACUGGUACGCAGAUUAUUUCGUACUGUUAUAUUUUUUUUAAUUCGCAUAUAUUGUAUUUCAUGCUGUUCUUGUUUUAUUUUUUGAAGGAAAAAUUAAAAAAAAAAAGUAUAGACAUAUGUUAAACUUUAUAUUAUCUUGACAUGAUCUAUAUCUAUUUAUAAUAAUAACAAGACAAGAUCAAUGUACCUUUUUCUCAUAAUUUGUUCCGCGUGUCAUGGACUUACUAGCUCUAUCUCUCAUGUAUUUUCUUCCGUUUCAACUUCCAAUUGGUCACAAUACUCUAAUACCAAAUUAUUCUGUGUUUGUAGCUUAAAUUUGGAGUUGGAUUCUCUAACUUUAGCCCGGAAAGUAAGAGUGCCUUCGAAUGAUUUGGACAAUUGGAUUAUAGAAAUGAAUCAGAUUUUAGUACGUGUAAAUAAUAUUUACUUUAACUGGAAACUUUUAUUUAUGUUACUUAUCAAGAAAAUUUCACCUCUACGACUACUUAAAUUCAAGAACAAAGAAGGGCCAUCAACAAAGUCUGAGAGCAAAGGGUAUAUGAUUCUACAGAAAUAUAUUAUAAAGUGUUGAAUCUUGGAUUGAAUCUUCCAAUCCUAUUAUUUCACAGCCUUUUCACACAACAGACAUUGCUCACCAACACUGCAUAGCACCCUCGUAAGUUUAUUUUUAAUUUUUUAUUUGAUUUUUUUUUUCUGCUGAUUUCUUUAUUUGCUUUUAUCAUACCGUCACAAUAUUGUGACAUCCACUUGUCAAAAACAUGGGGUACAAGUAACUAGUGUGACAUCCAUAACGUCCCAUAAUAUUGGUGGCGCAAGCACCCACGUUAUUGCAUGCCAUUGAAAUGGGUUUUUCCAAAAAACAAAAAACACUAAAAUGGAAAUGGAAUGAAAAUGGGUACAAGUUCAACUUAAAUUUGAAACCUAUAAAUUGAACUUGUGAACUAUUUUUUUAGUUGAUGGUUAUAUGAUAGUAAAAUUGAAGUGCUUGAGAAUGUGCAAGUAUAAUACGAAAUCAGUAAAUUUUUACUUCUUAUGAUCAUAUUUAAAUGUUCCAAAUUAUGGAAAUAAUUUCUUUUAGAUUUAUUUAUGUUUUCCAUUGCUUUCAUAGGAAGUGCAAUAUGGAAUCUUCAAAUGUUUAACACAAGAGAACCAACAUUAAACCCCUAAUCCCUAAACUAAACAGAAUUAUAGAUUGAGAAAGGUUUCUCCCUUGGCCCUCCCAUGGAAAGAGGAAGAAAAUAGAAAAGGAGUAAUGGAUGAACUUACCACUCAAAGGGAUUACUACAAGAAAAAAAAAGAUGUUUUUGUGUAGAGGAUUCAAGCUUCUUCAAUCUCCUGAGAGUGAGGUGGGUUAAGGAAGAAGAGGAAAGAGAGUGAGAGAGUUUUAGGUGAGAGUUUUAUAAUUUUAAGAAUUUAGAAAAGUAUUUUAAAGGUCUUUAGGCCCUCUUCUCUAACAAGGCCUUGUUGCUAAACAUACCCUUUCCACCACUUAUGUUAGAAAGCCAAACCCUUAAGACCAAAAACACAAAAGAAUCAACUAAGUUCAUGUGCAAUACAUAAACAAACUAUGUUCAUGCAUUUAAGAAGACUAGAGUGUUAAAACCAAGGCUAGAAAGGCAGAUGUUUUUGUCCACCCAUAAUAAAAUGAGUCAUGCAUAACAAUUUUCACCUAAUAAAAUACCAAGCUCCUUAGAAGACAAUAGUAAGGAUCCCUCAUAUGCCUCCUUGAUUGGGGAUUACCAAUUUGCCUAACAUCGAUAAACAUUCAACUAGUCCAAGCAAUUCUUGAGAUUGCCCGUAGUAACUAGCUCGAUUAACACAUCAUAUGCAUUAUCAAAAGUGUGAAUCUUCAUAAUUAAUAUUUGACCAGAUGCCAUUAACUCCAUGAUCUUGUGAAAUCACACAUCAAUAUGCUUAUUCCUAAUAUGGUACCCUUGAUUCUGUGAAGUAGAUGGAACUCAGUUUCACAAUACAACUGAACUCCACAUUUGUCAAUGUACAACUGCUUUAUACUAGUGCUGUAAGCCAUAUAUUUAAAGCUUCUUUAUCGGCUUCAACUACUACUAUGUACUUUGCUUCAUUUGUAGACAUUAUCAUAAUUGACUAGACGAUUGAUUUCCAACAUAUAAUCCCUCCAAGAGUAAAAACAUACCUUGUAUAUUGUAAAUCUCCUAUCAUCCAAACCAUCAACAUAGUCAAAAUAAUCCACAUAUCCCAUAACCAAAAGAUCACCCUAUUGACUGCCAAACAUAACAUGAUGACUUGGUGUGCCUUUUAGGUACCGAAAGAUACAUUUCAUUGUUUCCCAAUGUUGCUAACCUUGCUUGGACAUAAACUUACAUACUUGACUUAUAACAUGCACCAUAUUUGGUCUAGUUCAAAUCAUAACACACAUCAAGCAUUCAACUGGCACAAGGAACCUUUGACAUGUAUGUCAUUUUCCGCAUCACCAAUCUUUGGGUACUGUACAUAAAGUUUAAGUGGUUGCCAAUGGGAUUCUCUCUAACGUAGCAUUGUUCAUGCCGACAUAUGUUAUUAUAUUAUAUAAAAUUAAAAUUCAUUGAUUAUAUAGUUAUAGUUAUUUAACUUUCAUAAAAUUUCAUAAAAAUAGUUAAAGGAAUACUCUCUCUCUAAUUAUAAGAUUCUUUUCAACUAAUUUACGUUCUUUAAGAAAAUUAGUUAGUUUAAUCAAUCACAUUAAAUUUGUCAAUUAUUUAUAUUAUUAUUCCAAAAUUAUUCUUUUCUUAUUUCUCUAUUCACUUAAUUCAUUCUCAUUAAUAUUUUGGAGAAUGAAUAAUUAAGUAAAGGUACAUAGGAAAAAAAUUAAAUAAUACAUCUAGAAAUUAGAAAAUAAUCUUAUAAAAAGAGUCAAACAAAUAUCUGAAAAUGGGCUUAUAAUUAAGAACAAAAGGAGUAUAUAAUUAUGAUUUAAUGGUUGGGUCCAUAAAAGUCAUGUAACAAUAAUAUAUAAAGUUAUUAACUAUGUAAUAGUUGGUUAACUUAUAGUAGUGCAAUUUUUUCAUAGAAAUUGAACACAGUAUCAAAAAAUUUACCACAUUCACAUCAUACUCAAUCAACAAGGUAGAACCCUUGAUUAUGACAGUGCAAUCUGAUCCCUCGUUAUCAACAAUCAAGUCACUCAAAUAAUUCUUAGUAAAGCUAUUCCAUAUAUUCAAUAACUCUUUGUAUAUAUUAACUUUAAUAAUCCAAAUAUUUUUCACAUUAUCUCAGCAAUAAUAGCACUGAAUUUAGAUAAAUUGAUCAUUUGAAACUAUGUAAUUUUAUAGUCAAUAUUUAAUUAUAUUUUAAUUAAAUUAAAAUCAUUUAAUAAAGUAUCAAAUCAAAUUUUAUAAAAAUGUGUAGACUUGUUCAAUUUAAAUAAUAAAUUCUUUUUCAAUGGUUGUAUUAUUAACAUAUAAUAUAUACAAAUAGUUAAUUGAAUUUAGGGUUGUCAUAAUCACCACUUAUUUAAAUAUCAUCCUUUUCAAUUCGUUUCGUUUAACAAAAAUAUAUAUACAAAGAGUUAUUGAUAUUACUUGUGGAAUAACUUGAUAUACAUUAGAGAUGUUUAUAGGUUGGAUUGAUUUGAGUGAACUAUAGAAUAAAAUCUAAUAUGAAUCGUGCAUAUUAAUUUAAUUGGGUUUAUUAGUUUCAACAACUUUUAAGAUAUUCUUUUGGUGAAUUUGAACCAAACCAAACUUAAAAUAUAAUUUAUAUAAUAAUAUAAAAUAUAAUUUUAAGAUAUUCUUUUGAUAUAACAAUAUAAUUUUUUUAUCAUAAAUACAAAAUAUAAUUUAUAUGUUAAAAGUAUUUAUUUAUUAUAAAUUUUAAUUGACUUAUAAUUUAUAUAUUUAAAAUAAUUUAUUUAUUAAUUAAUUUUUUAUAUAAAAUAAACAUUUAGAAUAAAUUACAUAAAUCUUUUUGAGGCUUGCUUUAGUACACCUGAUAUCCUUUCAUUUUGUUACAUUACUAUGAGUCCCUAAGAGGGAGUCAUUGUAACAUUUUUUUAUGCCUUAGAGAGAGGUUGGUGUAAUGGUUUAUGCUUAAGAAGGGAGAUGAAUGUAAUAAAAGCCCAAAAAUUAGAGUCUUUCAUAGGAUUCAAAAAUAGAGUUAUCGGAUGUAAUAAUUAAGUCAAAUUUUAAGGAAGAUAUGUAUAAUUUAUCCAAAUUAAACAUUUAUCGUUACAUUGUACAAAUUAAAAUACUAAGUAUUCAAGUCUAAAAUAUAUUCAUCUAAUUUAUUUGAGUUAUUUGGUUGGUUCAUGUUAAUAAAUUCAUAAAUUAAAAAAAUAUAAUUAAUUUACUUUGAAUAUAAAAAUAGAAUUACCAAAUAACUAAAUCAUUUAUCAUAUCAUAUAUCAUUUGGGAUUCAAUAAAAUCUCUGACCCCACCACAUUUAUCUUUCUAGCCAUCUUUCUUUCUUCCUUUAUAUACUUUGUCAAGCUGUGCCACAUAAUGUAACACAUCACUACGUUUUAAUUAGUAUCAUUUCUAUUAUUGGAAUGGAUGAAAGAAACAAAGAAAAGAAGAAAGAUGUGUAUGGAUUAAAAUACAUUAAGUUAUAAUCAUUACGUAUAGCUAAACUUCCAUCACUACAUUGACUCUUAUUCUGAUACAUAUAAUUCAUCUCAACCCAGAAAUGUGAUCGAGAAGAAGAAAAUAGAGUAGUGGAGUGAAAAAGAGGUGACAAAUUGACAAGUAUCAACAAGCUGCACCGCACCACUCCCCUUAAUUGCAUUUUCACAUACGGAUUUAGCUAGCACUAGUGCAAAGUGAAAAGUAGUACAUAUAUAAAUGACUUUCAAAUUAAUUAUUAGAUUCAUGUUAAAAGGAGCAACACAUUGUUUUAUUGAAGAAGAAAAAAAAAUUAUGCAUUCAUUGUAAUAAGUUUUAUAUAAUCAUUUAAUUAUAAUUAUUAUGUAUAAUAAAUUUAUUAAUUUUUAAAAUAAUCAACUUAAAAUAAUUUAAAUGACAAUUUAUAAUUAAAUGAGAAUAUAAGAUUAUUUAAAACGGUAAGUGAAUAGACAUUUAACUCAUGUUUUAUUAGCUAACAACAAAUGUCGAUUUGACAUAGUAAUGACAUGGCUAGUGAUGUUGAGGAUCAGGCCCUGCAGGUGAAACUCUCUCCAACCUUCCACCUAGCAUUGACCUCUUUUGGUGCCACUCAUCACCAUUUCGUACAUUGUUGAUCAAUUCACGUAAACCAAGUUUCCUAUUAAUCUUUUUGCUGAUCAAUGUUGAGAACUCAGGGACUAGCCUUGCUUCUGAACUCACUACAAGCAAUGUGAAAACAAUUAGCAAGAGAACAAACUGCCUUAGCUUCAUUGAAGUAGCCAUGGUCUUACAACAACUAACUUAAAUGCCAAAUAAUUAAAACAAGUACAACAAGUUAAGCUAAAACUAAAGCUUUUGUAGGUG